rnacentral:rRNA from 1 species
CCUGUGCUAAGGUAGCAUAAUCAUUUGGUUUUUAAUAGGGGUCUGGAAUGAAAGGUCAAACAAGUAUUAGUUUCUUAUUUUUAAAGAGUGAAUUUAAGAUUGAAGUAAAAACGCUUAAAUUUUUCGUGGGACGAUAAGACCCUAAAAGCUUUAUUUUAGGUAUUAUAGUAUUUUUAGUGUGUAGUACAUUUUAAAAUUGGUUGGGGUAACAGCUUUAAAUGUAUUAGAGUGCAGGUUUAUAGUAUAGUUAGAUAAAUAUCCUUAUUAUUAGGAGAGCAAUUGAAGUUACUUUAGGGGUAACAGGGUAAUUAUUUUAUAGAGCUCGUAUCGAUAGAAUAGGUUGCUACCUCGAUGUUGAAUUAAAAUAUCGGCGUGAUGGAAAAGGUUCGUUUGAGGGUUUGUUCAACCUUUAAUUUUUUACAUGAUCUGAGUCAAACCGGA